rnacentral:piRNA from 1 species
UGGCAAACUGUAAAAUGUUAA